rnacentral:rRNA from 1 species
AUUGAACGCUGGCGGCAUGCCUUACACAUGCAAGUCGAACGGCAGCACGGGGCAACCUGGUGGCGAGUGGCGAACGGGUGAGUAAUGCAUCGGAACGUACCUUUCAGUGGGGGAUAACGUAGCGAAAGUUACGCUAAUACCGCAUAUUCUGUGAGCAGGAAAGCAGGGGAUCGCAAGACCUUGCGCUGAUUGAGCGGCCGAUGUCAGAUUAGCUAGUUGGUGAGGUAACGGCUCACCAAGGCGACGAUCUGUAGCGGGUCUGAGAGGCUGAUCCGCCACACUGGAACGGAGACACGGUCCAGACUCCUACGGGAGGCAGCAGUGGGGAAUAUUGGACAAUGGGCGCAAGCCUGAUCCAGCCAUGCCGCGUGUGUGAAGAAGGCCUUCGGGUUGUAAAGCACUUUAAGCGAGGAGGAAGGUUCGUUACUUAAUACGUAACGGAAUUGACGUUACUCGCAGAAUAAGCACCGGCUAACUCUGUGCCAGCAGCCGCGGUAAUAC